AACAAACGCUGGCGGCGCGCUUAACACAUGCAAGUCGAACGGUGAACGGGGCUUCGGCCCCCGGAUCAGUGGCGAACGGGUGCGUAACACGUGGGCAACCCGCCCCUCACUCUGGGAUAACCCCGGGAAACCGGAGCUAAUACCGGAUACUCCGAACGGAUCGCAUGGUCCGAUCGGGAAAGGUCCGCCGGUGAGGGAUGGGCCCGCGGCCUAUCAGCUUGUUGGUGAGGUAACGGCUCACCAAGGCGACGACGGGUAGCUGGUCUGAGAGGACGACCAGCCACCCUGGGACUGAGAUACGGCCCGGACUCCUACAGGAGGCAGCAGUGGGGAAUCUUGCGCAAUGGGCGAAAGCCUGACGCAGCGACGCCGCGUGGGGGAUGAAGGCCCUCGGGUUGUAAACCCCUUUCGGCAGGGACGAAGCGGUUCCGUGACGGUACCUGCAGAAGAAGCCUCGGCUAACUACGUGCCAGCCGCCGCCGUAAGAC
rnacentral:rRNA from 1 species